rnacentral:rRNA from 1 species
UGGACCUGGCGGCGUGCUUACACAUGCAGUCGAACGAGAACGGUUUUAGUUUACUAAAAUGCAGUCUAAGUGGCGCACGGGUGAGUAAUAUAUAGGUAAUGUGCCCCUUACUAGGAAAUAACAGAUGGAAACGCCUGCUAAUGUCCUAUAUACCUCUAAUACAUAAGUAUGUGAGGGAAAGAUUUAUUGGUAAGGGAUCGGCCUGUACAGUAUCAGCUAGUUGGUGAGGUAAUGGCUCACCAAGGCAAUGACGCUUAACUGGUUUGAGAGGAUGAUCAGUCACACUGGAACUGAGACACGGUCCAGACUCCUACGGGAGGCAGCAGUGGGGAAUAUUGCACAAUGGGGGGAACCCUGAUGCAGCAACGCCGCGUGGAGGAUGACACAUUUCGGUGCGUAAACUCCUUUUAUAUAGGAAGAUAAUGACGGUACUAUAUGAAUAAGCGCCGGCUAACUCCGUGCCAGCAGCCGCGGUAAUACGGAGGGCGCAAGCGUUACUCGGAAUCACUGGGCGUUAAGAGCGUGUAGGCCGGAUAAAUAAGUUGGGAGUGAAAUCCUAUGGCUCAACCAUAGAAACGCUUUCCCAAACGUAUAUCUAGAAAUAUCGGAGAAGUCACAUGGCAUUCCGGGGUGAGGGGUACAACCGAGAAACCGACGGAAUCCAUGGCAAG